GGUCGAUUAGUGUAGCUGGUUAUCACAGCGGAUUCUGACUCAUACUUGGACAUUCCGCUAACCUGGGUUCGAAUCCCAGAUUGACCU